rnacentral:tRNA from 1 species
UUCUUUUUAGCUUAAUAUAAUUAAAGCGGUAGUUUGAAGAGCUAUAGAUGAUUUUGUCAAAAGAAG